AGAGUUUGAUCCUGGCUCAGAACGAACGUUGGCGGCGUGGAUUAGGCAUGCAAGUCGCGCGAAUCCCCGCAAGGGGGGAAGCGGCGUAAGGGGCAGUAAGGCGUGGGCAACCCACCCCCCGGUCCGGGAUAGCCCGUCGAGAGACGGGGUAAUACCGGGCGACACCUCUUGGGGGCAUCCCUGGGAGGUCAGAGGUCCGCCGCCGGGGGCGGGGCCCACGUGGUAUUAGCUAGUUGGUGGGGUGACGGCCCACCAAGGCGGAGAUGCCUAGCGGGUGUGAGAGCACGACCCGCGCCACUGGCACUGAGACACGGGCCAGACACCUACGGGUGGCUGCAGUCGAGGAUCUUCGGCAAUGGGGGCAACCCUGACCGAGCGACGCCGCGUGGGCGACGAAGGCCUUCGGGUUGUAAAGCCCUGUCGAGGGGGAGGAAAGGGUUAAACCUUGACCCAUCCCUGGAGGAAGCACGGGCUAAGUUCGUGCCAGCAGCCGCGGUAAUAC
rnacentral:rRNA from 1 species